GCUGGGCGGGGUGGUGCCUGCCUGUUAUCCCAGCUACUCAGGAAGCUAAGGCAGGAGGAUCUCAAGUUCAAAGCCAGCCUCAGCAACUUAGUGAGACCCUGUUUCAA
rnacentral:sRNA from 1 species